rnacentral:lncRNA from 1 species
UGAUGGCGUCGUGGUUUCGGCGUGUUUGACGGCGGUUCGUGGAUUCGGAUCAUGGGCUCGUGGAUUCGAGUGGCGUUCGUGGAUUCGAACGUGUGCGAGGCGUUCGUGGAUUCGAACGUGUGGGCGUGGACAACCCGGAGGAUUGCGCGAGAUUCAUAGGAGGUUAAGAGAGGUUGAGUCCGUGGAGUUGGUAAUCACCUUGUAAUCUUUUCUCUUAAUGAAUUAUUUUUUCGCGUGUUGGUCCUGUGGGUUUUUCUCCAAGUUGGAGUUUUCCCACGUAAAUCUCGGUGUAAUUUUUAUUUUCCGCAUUUAUUUU